ACGCCUUAUACAUGCAAGUCGAACGGAGUAGCAAUACUUAGUGGCAGACGGGUGAGUAACAUGUGGGUAUCUUCCCUUUGGUGAGGAAUAACACGAGGAAACUUGUGCUAAUACCUCAUAAGUCUUUACGGAGAAAGCUUUACGCGCCAAUGGAUGAGCCCGCACUUGAUUAGUUUGUUGGUGGGGUAAUGGCCUACCAAGACUGUGAUCAAUAGCUGAUUUGAGAGGAUGAUCAGCCACAUUGGGACUGAGACACGGCCCAAACUCCUACGGGAGGCAGCAGUAGGGAAUCUUGCACAAUGGAGGAAACUCUGAUGCAGCGAUGCCGCGUGAGUGAAGAAGGCCUUUGGGUUGUAAAGCUCUUUCGUCGGGGAAGAAAAUGACUGUACCCGAAUAAGAAGGUCCGGCUAACUUCGUGCCAGCAGCCGCGGUAAUACGAAGGGACCUAGCGUAGUUCGGAAUUACUGGGCUUAAAGAGUUCGUAGGUGGUUAAAAAAGUUGGUGGUGAAAUCCCAGAGCUUAACUCUGGAACUGCCAUCAAAACUUUUUAGCUAGAGUAUGAUAGAGGAAAGUAGAAUUUCUAGUGUAGAGGUGAAAUUCGUAGAUAUUAGAAAGAAUACCAAUUGCGAAGGCAGCUUUCUGGAUCAUUACUGACACUGAGGAACGAAAGCAUGGGUAGCGAAGAGGAUUAGAUACCCUCGUAGUCCAUGCCGUAAACGAUGUGUGUUAGAUGUUGGAAAUUUAUUUUCAGUAUCGCAGCGAAAGCAAUAAACACACCGCCUGGGGAGUACGACCGCAAGUAACUCAAAUGAUGACGGUC
rnacentral:rRNA from 1 species